rnacentral:tRNA from 1 species
GCCUGGCUGGCUCAGUUGGUGGAGCAUGUGACUCUUGAUCUUGGGGUCAUGAGUUUGAGCCCCAUGCUGGGUG